GAUGAACGCUGGCGGCGUGCCUAAUACAUGCAAGUCGUACGGAAAGGCCCUUCGGGGUACUCGAGUGGCGGACGGCUGAGUAACGCGUGGGAACGUGCCCCAAAGUGAGGGAUAACGCACCGAAAGGUGUGCUAAUACCGCAUAUGGUCUUCGGAUUAAAGCUUCGGCGCUUUGGGAGCGGCCCGCGUACGAUUAGAUAGUUGGUGAGGUAAUGGCUCACCAAGUCGACGAUCGUUAGCUGGUCUGAGAGGAUGAUCAGCCAGACUGGGACUGAGACACGGCCCAGACUCCUACGGGAGGCAGCAGUAAGGAAUCUUCCACAAUGGGGGCAACCUUGAUGGAGCAGCGCCGCGUGCAGGAUGAAGGUUUUCGGAUCGUAAACUGCUUUUAUAAGUGAAGAAUAUGACGGUAACUUAUGAAUAAGGAUCGGCUAACUACGUGCCAGCCGCCGCAGUAA
rnacentral:rRNA from 1 species